rnacentral:rRNA from 1 species
AGCACGGGAGCUUGCUCCUGGUGGCGAGUGGCGAACGGGUGAGUAAUGCAUCGGAACGUAUCCGGAAGUGGGGGAUAACGUAGCGAAAGUUACGCUAAUACCGCAUAUUCUGUGAGCAGGAAAGAGGGGGAUCGCAAGACCUCUCGCUUUCGGAGCGGCCGAUGUCGGAUUAGCUAGUUGGUGAGGUAAAAGCUCACCAAGGCGACGAUCCGUAGCGGGUCUGAGAGGAUGAUCCGCCACACUGGAACUGAGACACGGUCCAGACUCCUACGGGAGGCAGCAGUGGGGAAUUUUGGACAAUGGGCGCAAGCCUGAUCCAGCCAUGCCGCGUGAGUGAAGAAGGCCUUCGGGUUGUAAAGCUCUUUCGGCGGGGAAGAAAUUGCUCAGGAUAAUACCUUGAGUAGAUGACGGUACCCGCAUAAGAAGCACCGGCUAACUACGUGCCAGCAGCCGCGGUAAUACGUAGGGUGCGAGCGUUAAUCGGAAUUACUGGGC